CAAGAUUCCGGCAAACAAAAGCCAAAUAACCCCCAAAAAUAUAACAGCUCCAAUUAGAAACCUCAAAACACAGCCACCACUACCCAUAUGUAUCUGUCACUUUGCUUAUCUCCUAUGACCUUUUGAUGAAGAACAAUGGCUGAACAUUCAAAACAGAGAACAGGGAACCAGAAACCAUGCUGGAAUUGAGAACAGAAAAAUGCAUGUGGAGCUCUCAAAUAGGGAGUGGAGUUAACAAAAGAAGAAAAGAUGGGAAGAGAAAGCUAGUCAAGACAAGUAUGUUAAGAUGAUUUUAACUUGGCCGGUAAAGAAGUAACUGUGUCUUAUUUAAAGGUGUCAG
rnacentral:lncRNA from 1 species